rnacentral:lncRNA from 1 species
GGGGAAGAGUUCCCGAGCAGAAUCAGGAUACUGCUGCUGGUCAAGUGCAGGAGUCAUUUGCUGUGAAUGGACAAAUAAGUGCAAAUGCAGGCUUCUCUACAACCGCAGAUGCUUUGGGGACUGACAGCCUAACAUUCACAGAUGGGGUGUCUCCAGGAUUCAUAGCACCUGAUGGCAUGGGAGGCAACGGCAAUGAACUGAUGAACAGAGAUGAAUGUUAUGAAGAGAAGCGUGUGCAUCCAAAGGGAAAGAAGAAAAAAGUAAGAAGAGAGGGGAGAACAGCUUCACCAUUAAAGAGGAAAAGCAUCCAGUCAGCAUCUGAUUAUUAUAAAAUGUGAUUUGU